UUAAUGAUCUUGAGUAAUCUACUUGCAAGAAGAAUACUUCGAAAUAUCUGUAAUAAAGAAAAUUAUCGAUGUAUUUAAAUUAUAUGAUCGCAAAACCGGUAAGGUUAUAUAAAAUUGCGUGAUGGUGAAUAAUGGAAGGGAGUAUUCCCCUUCUCUAAACUGUUCCUGCUCGAGCAUUAUUAGUCCUACACAUGAUAGAGGAACUAUGUCUUGAACAUAGUGACAUCACUAUGUGAAUAUGGCUAUUGCAAAUAUAUCUGAUAUUUCAGAUAAAUAUUGGUAUUCAUCAUUUGUAGCAUUUAAGAUGACCAUGGGUAAAAUAGAGAUUGAACUAUAUUGGAAGCAUGUACCUAUUAUAUGAAGAAGAAAUUUUUUCUGAACAAUGUGGGAAUAAUAUUUCAUAAAAUUCUUUAAAUUUUAUGAUAUAAGAUCGAUUUGACAAUAUUUUUGAGUCAACUAUAUAUAU